rnacentral:rRNA from 1 species
AAUUGCGACCCCAGGUCAGGCGGGAUUACCC